rnacentral:lncRNA from 1 species
AACGAGAUGGAAAAAAAAAUCUAUAGCUAUGCCGUAUGGUGAUAUGUAUAAUAGUGGGGGAUUAUGGGACAAAAAAUAAAUCCACUUGGUUUCAAACUGGGUACAACCCAAGGUCAUCAUUCCCUUUGGUUAUCACAACCAAAAAAUUUUUCUGAAGGUUUACAAGAAGAUCAAAAAAUAAGAGAUUGUAUCAAGAAUUAUGUAACUGGGUACAAUCCAAGGUCAUCAUUCCCUUUGGUCUUCACAACCAAAUAACUUUUCUGAAGGUUUACAAGAAGGUCAAAAAAUAGGAGAUUGUAUCAAGAAUUAUGUACAAAAGAAUAUGAGAACGUCCUCU